rnacentral:rRNA from 1 species
UACGUAGGGAGCAAGCGUUGUCCGGAUUCACUGGGUGUAAAGGGUGCGCAGGCGGGAAGGUAAGUCGGAGGUGAAAUCUCACAGCUCAACUGUGAAACUGCCUCUGAUACUGCUUUUCUUGAGUUCGGGAGAGGUUGAUGGAAUUCCAGGUGUAGCGGUGAAAUGCGUAGAUAUCUGGAAGAACACCAGUGGCGAAGGCGGUCAACUGGCCCGUAACUGACGCUCAUGCACGAAAGCGUGGGUAGCGAACAGG